rnacentral:lncRNA from 1 species
UGUAUGAUUGCGCGUUUGCGCUGUUGAUGCUUGGCGCAUUCCGGCGAAUUCGUGCACGCCGUUUGCUUGAGAGCUUCCUGCGUUUUGUGUUCUUUGUGUGCUUCGCUGUGACAUCUUUGGAAUAUUCCUGCGUGUUGCUCGCUUUUUAUGGACUUGUUGCCUCGAAGAUCGCCAUGAUCGCCUCCGACUCAGCGACAUCAAGGAUUCAAAAUGAGCUGGGAGAGGCCCCAGCUGGAACGGUUCACAUAGGUUGAAGGAGUGCACAUUGAGAAGGUUAUCCUGGCACAGUUUACCAUGGCCUGCCAUGGUGGACCAGGAAAGUUUGCAAGGGCCUUGCUUCACCAUGUGUUCACAGAGGAGGAGCUCAUGGGCCAUUUGGGCUUUGGAAAUAACACCAAGGGGCAAAAAAGGCUCUUGACCCCACCAGGGUCAGUGCUGUUAUAGGCAAGUACCAUAUAUCCUUUCUGGUUGCAUUUUUACAUUCACAUUUUUUUCUAAAAUUAUGAACUUGCCAUUGGCAUAACAAAC